rnacentral:pre_miRNA from 1 species
UGAAGUCAAAUUUGUAUGGAGUUGAAAAGUUCGCCUAUGUUUGCCGCUUGGGGCACUGUUCCUGUUGCAUACAAAUUUCAGGUA